rnacentral:rRNA from 1 species
GUAGGGUGCGAGCGUUGUCCGGAAUUAUUGGGCGUAAAGAGCUCGUAGGCGGUUUGUCGCGUCGGCCGUGAAAACUUGGGGCUUAACCCCGAGCCUGCGGUCGAUACGGGCAGACUUGAGUUCGGCAGGGGAGACUGGAAUUCCUGGUGUAGCGGUGAAAUGCGCAGAUAUCAGGAGGAACACCGGUGGCGAAGGCGGGUCUCUGGGCCGAUACUGACGCUGAGGAGCGAAAGCGUGGGGAGCGAACAGGAUUAGAUACCCUGGUAGUCCACGCCGUAAACGGUGGGUGCUAGGUGUGGGGGACUUCCACGUUCUCCGUGCCGCAGCUAACGCAUUAAGCACCCCGCCUGGGGAGUACGGCCGCAAGGCUAAA